CCUACGGGGGGCACCAGUGGGGAAUAUUGGACAAUGGGCGAAAGCCUGAUCCAGCAAUGCCGCGUGUGUGAAGAAGGUCUUCGGAUUGUAAAGCACUUUCGACGGGGACGAUGAUGACGGUACCCGUAGAAGAAGCCCCGGCUAACUUCGUGCCAGCAGCCGCGGUAAUACGAAGGGGGCUAGCGUUGCUCGGAAUGACUGGGCGUAAAGGGCGCGUAGGCGGUCUAUGCAGUCAGAUGUGAAAUCCCCGAGCGUAACCUGGGAACUGCAUUUGAGAAGCAUAGACUAGAGGUCGAGAGAGGGUUGUGGAAUUCCCAGUGUAGAGGUGAAAUUCGUAGAUAUUGGGAAGAACGCCGGUGGCGAAGGCGGCAACCUGGCUCGAUACUGACGCUGAGGCGCGAAAGCGUGGGGAGCAAACAGGAUUAGAUACCCUUGUAGUC
rnacentral:rRNA from 1 species